CUGCUGUACAAGCUGUCACUGCCGGAGACACAGGAGUGUUACAACAGAAGUCAGUCAUGCUCACCUGUCCAGCAGGCUUCCUGCUGCUCUGCACACCUGUUCCCAAUCAUCUCAUCAGCCUGUGACCUGUUCCCGUGCCGGCCUCCCCAGCUGCACCUCAUCAGCUAACGAGUCUCCCAGCACUCAGCUGCUCCUUCAGCAACACACAGAAACUGUUCCAGCUGACAGCGUGGAGGGAGCUGUGGACCUGGUGAACUGUGACAGAGAACUGAACUGACCCUCGUCUUUCAGAAACACAACAGCUCCAUUAUGCUAAAGCUACAUCAGGUUGUUGUUGUCGUCCACACCUCCCUUCUUUACUUAUCCUCAUGUUCAAGUGUAGGAA
rnacentral:lncRNA from 1 species